rnacentral:lncRNA from 1 species
GAACCCUUCAUCACCAUCACCCAUACGUUGUAAUGUCAACAGUACGGCUUCUUUCAACCAACGGAUAUACAGGUCAUUAAUGUCGAAGAGGGAGGUAGUACUUGGGUAGUAAUGGCGAUGUCAAAGGGAAGGAGGAAGAUCACCAAAUUCAAUGGAUCUAAAUUCCAAACUCGCUCCGUCAUGUAAAAAUAAAAAUAAACAAAAAUAAAAAUAUGGACUUCUUACACUGUUAUGGCCCCACACUCACACCCC